UGAUUUAAUAAUUAAAGGGCUGCAGUAUAUUGACUGUACAAAGGUAGCAUAAUCAAUAGUCUUUUAAUUGAAGACUUGUAUGAAAGAUUUGAUGAAAUAUAAACUGUCUCUAAAUUAUUUAUAGAAAUUAAUUUUUUAAUUAAAAAGUUAAAAUAAAUUAAAAAGACGAGAAGACCCUAUAGAGUUUUAUAAUAAUAAAUUUUUUUUUUAAAUAUAAAAAUAAUAAAUUAAAAGGUUUAUUAUUAUUUUAUUGGGGUGAUAGAAAAAUUAAAAUAACUUUUUUUAAUAAAAAUACAUGAAUAAGUGAAUAAAUGAUCCAUAAUUAAUGAUUAUAAGAAAAAAUUACCUUAGGGAUAACAGCGUAAUUUUUUUUUUUAG
rnacentral:rRNA from 1 species